rnacentral:ncRNA from 1 species
AUAAAGGCUAUGAAGAGAAGAGUGGUUAUGGUUGAUUACACAGAGAGUUUUCGGUUGGUGGAAGAAAAUUAUGAAGUCAUGAUGAAACAAGGCUCGGAGCUGCAUAUGGAUCUUAUAAUGCUACAAUUUAAAUGUAAGCAUGGGUAAGUGAUGGUAUGACGUAGGUUCACGUUACAGAACUGGAGUAUGAUUUAACGUACUUGAAGAGCCUAAAGUGGCGACAUUUUAGGGAAAAAGGGUGGUAUCGUGAAAUAGAAUUUUCACCCCUGUA